UACGUAGGGUGCGAGCGUUGUCCGGAAUUACUGGGCGUAAAGAGCUCGUAGGUGGUUUGUCGCGUUGUUCGUGAAAACCGGGGGCUUAACCCUCGGCGUGCGGGCGAUACGGGCAGACUAGAGUACUGCAGGGGAGACUGGAAUUCCUGGUGUAGCGGUGGAAUGCGCAGAUAUCAGGAGGAACACCGGUGGCGAAGGCGGGUCUCUGGGCAGUAACUGACGCUGAGGAGCGAAAGCGUGGGGAGCGAACAGG
rnacentral:rRNA from 1 species